AUUGAACGCUGGCGGCAGGCCUAACACAUGCAAGUCGAACGAGUGGCGGACGGGUGAGUAAUGUCUGGGAAACUUCCUGAUGGAGGGGGAUAACUACUGGAAACGGUAGCUAAUACCGCAUACCAUCUUGUGUGCCCAGAUGGGAUUGGCUUGUUGGUGGGGUAACGGCUCACCAGGGCGACGAUCCCUAGCUGGUCUGAGAGGUUGACCAGCAAAACUGGAACUGAGACCCGGUCAGGACUCCUACGGGAGGCAGCAGUGGGGAAUAUUGGACAAGGGGCGCAGGCCGGAUGCAGCAAGGCCGCGUGUAUGAAGAAGGCCUUCGGGUUGUAAAGUACUUUCAGCGGGGAGGCGUUACCCGCAGAAGAAGCAACGGCUAACUCCGUGCCAGCAGCCGCGGUAAUUC
rnacentral:rRNA from 1 species